CCUACGGGAGGCAGCAGUGAGGAAUAUUGGUCAAUGGGCGCGAGCCUGAACCAGCCAAGUCGCGUGAGGGAAGACGGUCCUAUGGAUUGUAAACCUCUUUUGUCGGGGAGCAAACGACGCCACGCGUGGCGUUCCGCGAGUACCCGAAGCACAAGCAUCGGCUAACUCCGUGCCAGCAUCCGCGGUACUACGGAGGAUGCGAGCGUUAUCCGGAUUUAUUGGGUUUAAAGGGUGCGCAGGCGGAAGAUCAAGUCAGCGGUAAAAUUGAGAGGCUCAACCUCUUCGAGCCGUUGAAACUGGUUUUCUUGAGUGAGUGAGAAGUAUGAGGAAUGCGUGGUGUAGCGGUGAAAUGCAUAGAUAUCACGCAGAACUACGAUUGCGAAGGCAGCAUACCGGCGCUCAACUGACGCUCAUGCACGAAAGUGUGGGUAUCGAACAGGAUUAGAUAACCGGGUAGUC
rnacentral:rRNA from 1 species